rnacentral:ncRNA from 1 species
GAUAGAGGAUGCAGAUGAGAAAAGUAACGUGCGGUAUACGCCGGUAAGCGGCUGUGCGUGAAAGGCGAUUCUGCCGAAGUGGUCCCCCGGUUGCCGCCGGGUGCCUGCUGGGAUCGCGCCGAAGAGGCGCGUUACUGUCACAUUUACCAAUGUGGAGCGCUAUC